AGGAUUUAUCUGGCACCCAACUUUCCGUUCAAAAGGUUCAAAUAUCUCAUGAUCAUGGGCAUAGGGGGCUUAGUGACAGUGAAAGAACUCUGAAAACGGUAUCAUCAGGAGUAGGAUAUCAAAAUGGUUUUGUUGAGCUUAAAGGUAUAUGGGCCAAGCCAAACAGUGAAAAUUUCACGCAGUGCAUUGGCCAUGUGGAUCACCAAAAAAAGCUGGAUGCUAAGACCAAUCGUUACCUACUGAUAAAUGCGAAUGAGGGCUUAAAUCAGAUGAGAUUUGGG